rnacentral:lncRNA from 1 species
AGGCACCAAAGCAAGACGCACCUGCAAAGAAGAAGUCUGGUUCCAGGAAAAAAGGAGAGCCUGUGUGCUGAUAUUUUAUUCUUCAAAAGUUGGAAGCAACCCUGAAGAAGGCAUUGGCUCUUGUGGCUGUGGCAGCGCCCCUGACGUUGGAAACACCUGUAUGAAGGCCUUCGAUAUCAUUCUCCUUGGUGCAAGGCCACAUGGGACACAAAUCCUAAUGAGAUGUUGCAGUAGAUAAUUUCUCAUUAAAAUUCUUAUUUAAUGGCCUUUUGAAAUUACUGUAGGGGCAUAAAAUUGGGUCUUGAUAUAUUUUAUUAAAUGCUGUAUCCCUUAUUCCCAAAAGAAUAAAGCAAUAAUGAUAAUGUCCAAAUGCUG